rnacentral:rRNA from 1 species
AGCAGCCGCCACGGUAAUACAGAGGGUGCGAGCGUUAAUCGGAUUUACUGGGCGUAAAGCGUGCGUAGGCGGCUUCUUAAGUCGGAUGUGAAAUCCCUGAGCUUAACUUAGGAAUUGCAUUCGAUACUGGGAAGCUAGAGUAUGGGAGAGGAUGGUAGAAUUCCAGGUGUAGCGGUGAAAUGCGUAGAGAUCUGGAGGAAUACCGAUGGCGAAGGCAGCCAUCUGGCCUAAUACUGACGCUGAGGUACGAAAGCAUGGGGAGCAAACAGGAUUAGAUACCCCAGUAGUCCCUGUCUCUUAUAC